rnacentral:rRNA from 1 species
UACGAAGGGGGGCUAGCGUUGCUCGGAAUCACUGGGCGUAAAGCGCACGUAGGCGGAUUGUUAAGUCAGGGGUGAAAAUCCUGGAGCUCAACUCCAGAACUGCCCUUUUGAUACUGGCGAUCUCGAGUCCGGGAGAGGUGAGUGGAACUGCGAGUGUAGAGGUGAAAUUCGUAGAUAUUCGCAAGAACACCAGUGGCGAAGGCGGCUCACUGGCCCGGUACUGACG